UUUUCACGUUUCCCCCGCUUGUUGAUCUUUUGCCACGUGAUCAUAGACUUUCCCUCUCCGCCAUAGUGCUACCAGUUUAGAAUAACCUGAAGCUCCGACAUCCGUACCAUUCGUGAAUUUAAUCUCGUAUAGUUCGCGUCCUUGUGUAUUGCCUUCGUAAGCCCCAUCGAAAGCGCCAUAAGCUUCAUCAUGGAAGUUGCCAAAGUGAACGAUUCGAACAGCAGCCUCGUCGAGCAAUCAAUGAAUAUAACGUCAGCAUCAAAAUCUGUCUUGGCGGAAAAAUCUGUACAAAGUAUCCAGACGAAGUCAGUCGUAGAGUCAUCGACCUCGAUUAAAUCCGUCACUUCCUCAUCCACCAGAUCACACCAAUCGAUGGAAUACGAGGAAACGAUCGAGUAUAACGAUUAGUGUAAUUAGAAAAUAACAUAAAUCCUCUCAAUAAAAAAAGACUUGACGCAGGGAAAAGCUAAAAACGCGAUAAGAUUCGGCUCAAUUUGAUUCAUCAUUUAAACAUUCAUCCUCGAACGCUACUUGACGCUAUUCCUCCUGCGAAAAAAAUAAUCGUAUCAUAUCAAAAAUAAUAAAUAUUACUCAAAAUCGUAAGAAAACGUCGAAGAAAAAUUAACGAUGGAAUUCCGUGACCUCUUCUCCAAUUUCGACCUCGAAGAUCUACGAUCGAUAAUCGAGCGGAAGAGUCAAAUCGACCGAUUCAGGCGUUCAGUUGCAGGGCUGUGCACCGAAAUAACAAGUCUGUCGCAUGCACGGUCUAUGCAGCAAUGCGACGAGAAGAAAUUCCACGAGUCAGAGGAGACAGACAAGAAGAAAUUGAAAAUGUGCCCGUGAAGGAACGUUCAAAAGCCUCUGGCUCUCAUCCAAUCGAUGUGGUUCGCCGCCAAUUCAACUUUUUCUUCUUUCUUUCAAAUUUUUUUUUCCUAAUCGACUCAUCGCUGUCGAUCCUCGAAUAGAUCGCUUGACAUGUGUGACUACUCAUUUAUCUUUGUAUAAUGAAGUUUUUAAGACAUUA